AACUUCUAACAACGUGUCUCUUGGCUCUCGCAUCGAUGAAGAACGCAGCGAAAUGCGAUAAGUAAUGUGAAUUGCAGAAUUCAGUGAAUCAUCGAAUCUUUGAACGCAUCUUGCGCUCCUUGGUAUUCCGAGGAGCAUGCCUGUUUGAGUGUCAUUUUGAACUCUCAAAGCCCACGUCUUGACGUGGCUUUGGACUUGAGGGCUUUUGCAGGCUUUUUGAUCAAAAGCCUGCUCCCUUGAAAAUCAUCAGUGGUAUCUGGAGCGGAAACCGCUAGGUGUUGAUAACAUUUCAUCCAUGCCUUUGGGUAUGCCGCGUAAAUGUGCUGCUUCCAACGGCCCCAUGCUCUUUGACAAACUUGACCUCAAAUCAGGUAGGACUACCCGCUGAACUUAAGCAUAUCAAUAAGCGGAGGCU
rnacentral:misc_RNA from 1 species